rnacentral:rRNA from 1 species
ACGGGGAGGAGCCCAGAGCCUGAAUCAGUGUGUGUGUUAGUGGAAGCGUCUGGAAAGGCGCGCGAUACAGGGUGACAGCCCCGUACACAAAAAUGCACAUGCUGUGAGCUCGAUGAGUAGGGCGGGACACGUGGUAUCCUGUCUGAAUAUGGGGGGACCAUCCUCCAAGGCUAAAUACUCCUGACUGACCGAUAGUGAACCAGUACCGUGAGGGAAAGGCGAAAAGAACCCCGGCGAGGGGAGUGAAAAAGAACCUGAAACCGUGUACGUACAAGCAGUGGGAGCACAGAGCAAUCUGUGUGACUGCGUACCUUUUGUAUAAUGGGUCAGCGACUUAUAUUCUGUAGCAAGGUUAACCGAAUAGGGGAGCCGAAGGGAAACCGAGUCUUAACUGGGCGUUAAGUUGCAGGGUAUAGACCCGAAACCCGGUGAUCUAGCCAUGGGCAGGUUGAAGGUUGGGUAACACUAACUGGAGGACCGAACCGACUAAUGUUGAAAAAUUAGCGGAUGACUUGUGGCUGGGGGUGAAAGGCCAAUCAAACCGGGAGAUAGCUGGUUCUCCCCGAAAGCUAUUUAGGUAGCGCCUCGUGAAUUCAUCUCCGGGGGUAGAGCACUGUUUCGGCAAGGGGGUCAUCCCGACUUACCAACCCGAUGCAAACUGCGAAUACCGGAGAAUGUUAUCACGGGAGACACACGGCGGGUGCUAACGUCCGUCGUGAAGAGGGAAACAACCCAGACCGCCAGCUAAGGUCCCAAAGUCAUGGUUAAGUGGGAAACGAUGUGGGAAGGCCCAGACAGCCAGGAUGUUGGCUUAGAAGCAGCCAUCAUUUAAAGAAAGCGUAAUAGCUCACUGGUCGAGUCGGCCUGCGCGGAAGAUGUAACGGGGCUAAACCAUGCACCGAAGCUGCGGCAGCGACACUAUGUGUUGUUGGGUAGGGGAGCGUUCUGUAAGCCUGUGAAGGUGUGCUGUGAGGCAUGCUGGAGGUAUCAGAAGUGCGAAUGCUGACAUAAGUAACGAUAAAGCGGGUGAAAAGCCCGCUCGCCGGAAGACCAAGGGUUCCUGUCCAACGUUAAUCGGGGCAGGGUGAGUCGACCCCUAAGGCGAGGCCGAAAGGCGUAGUCGAUGGGAAACAGGUUAAUAUUCCUGUACUUGGU